CAGGAGGUGCCACCUUCUAAGUGAUAUCACUUGGAUACUGAAAUGUCUCCAUGAACUGGAAGAAUAUAUGCUUCAGUGUGCUCCAAAUAACCCUGUGAUUUUGGAUGAUUGAUUAUGGGAAUGCUGCUUUUACUGUACAUCCAAGAGAAUUCAAGAAGCAUAGAUAUGUUAUAUAAUUUUCCUCAAUCACUCAGCAGUUAGUUGAAAAUGAGUUUUGACUUCAGUCCAUCUAUAUUCAGAAAUCUGGGGCUCUGUCACCACUAAGAUGAGAAAACUAAAGCAGAGUGGUUAGUGACCUGCACGAGGCCAUAUAAUGAGUUAAAGGAAGACCUGAGAUUUAAGUUCAAAAUGAUCUGCCUCUAGAGCCAAUGUUCUUAAUCACUCAGAGACACAUGAGGACACCAGUGGAGAGAGGUUUUGAGAAGUCCUCCAGAACUAAAAACUGUAACAGGGAGACAGAGAAGGCCAUUGUAUACAUACCUUUAAGAACCGGAUGUAGCUUACCUCUAAAAGGAAAA